CCAAAUUAUCCAAAGAUUAUGAAAUCAGUUGAUGAGGUUCUUCAUCUUUCUCAUAUAUUUGGCCUUCAAGUGUGCGAACCUGGGCUUCUUCUGGUUGAAUUUGUCUUUUCAAUGGUGUGGCAGUUGCUUGAUGCAUCAUUGGAUGAUGAAGGAUUAUUGGAUCUUACCUCAGAAAAGAAGUCUAAAUGGCUAACCAGCUUGGAAGAUGUGGAAAUAGAUGGUAAUGAAACCUUUGCUGAGAAAAGAAAUGAGCUUCAUGAGGGGCUGCACAAAGCAAAUACUAUUAUGGCUAUUCAACUAAUUGGAGAGUUACUGCAAAACAAAGUAACUUCAAGGAUUUUGUACUUGGCACGACAAAACAUGCCGUCACACUGGCGGGGCCUUAUUCAGCGAGUGCGGCUGAUCGCAGCACAUUCAGCAGCCUUGAGGAAUUCAAAACAUCUAAAUGCAGAGAGACUUCUGCAGUUGACAUCUGAUACAGUACCGCUUUUGUCUCAAAACUGCAAAAACAUAUCACAGCAGAACUUUCAUGCUGUCAUGUCUUCUGGGGCUCUGAUAUCUUCUGCUGGUCAAUGCCAUGGGGCUAGUUGGUCUGUGCUUUGGCUUCCAAUUGAUCUUUUUCUAGAAGAUGCUAUGGAUGAUUCACAAGUCGCAGCAACCAGUGCUGUAGAAACUCUUACGGGUUUGGUAAAAGCUUUGCAAGCAGUUAAUGGUACCACAUGGCAUGAUACUUUUCUAGGUCUGUGGAUUGCGGCUUUACGGCUUGUUCAAAGGGUGGGGACUAAUUCCAACUUGUUAAAGAAAUUAAUCCUCUUUGGAUCAUUGCUUAGUUUGAUGUUGG
rnacentral:misc_RNA from 1 species